rnacentral:tRNA from 1 species
GCUCCAAUAGUGUAGUCCGGCCAAUCAUUCGGGCCUCUCGAGCCUGAGACUCGGGUUCGAAUCCCGAUUGGAGCA